rnacentral:rRNA from 1 species
AUAGACGUACCCCGGUAGUCCACGACCGUAAACGAUGAGUGCUAGGUGUUAGGGGUUUCGAUACCCUUGGUGCCGAAGUUAACACAAGUAAGCACUCCGCCUGGGGAGUACGGUCGCAAGACUGAAACUCAAAGGAAUUGACGGGGACCCGCACAAGCAGUGGAGUAUGUGGUUUAAUUCGAAGCAACGCGAAGAACCUUACCAGGUCUUGACAUCCAACUAACGAAGCAGAGAUGCAUUAGGUGCCCUUCGGGGAAAGUUGAGACAGGUGGUGCAUGGUUGUCGUCAGCUCGUGUCGUGAGAUGUUGGGUUAAGUCCCGCAACGAGCGCAACCCUUGACUUUAGUUGCCAGCAGGUAGAGCUGGGCACUCUAGAGUGACUGCCGGUGACAAACCGGAGGAAGGUGGGGAUGACGUCAAAUCAUCAUGCCCCUUAUGACCUGGGCUACACACGUACUACAAUGGCCGGUACAAAGGGAAGCGAAGGAGCGAUCCGGAGCCAAUCUCAGCAAAGCCGGUCUCAGUUCGGAUUGCAGG